AAUAAUAAUAAUAAUAACAAUAAAGAGCAACAAUCACAGAUCCUUAACCAUGAGCCAUAGGUUAUGUUGUUAUUUGCAACACAUGAAUGCUAAGCCAACAAUAGAAAAUCAACCAUACAUGCGCACAGGAUCAUCCUGCAUGAACAAUUAGCCAGACCACAAUAAUGAAAGCUUUGGAUUGCCAAUACUAGCGACAAAUAAAAAAUAUGUGACAAUCUCUCAGCUAAUGAAAACUUCUUCCCUGUAUUCUUCCAUAUAGCGUCAACUCCGACUGUCCUACAGCAGACACUUCAUGGUGGGCCUAUUGCAUGCCAUUUAUAUUUCGAAGGGUACAGAAAUAUUCCUAGAGCACAUUAAUUCACCAUCAUCAUUACUUUUGAUUCUCCAUAAUGGAGAUGAGUGACCCUACCAUGAGAAUAGAGUUGCACAAAACAAAAUGUGCUUCAUUCCCUAGUUAAACUGAUAUCUGUUCUAAUCACGUGGGUUUGCCUCUUUUCAAAAGGAAUAGCUAUCAAACAAUGGUACCCAUUUUUUUUUUUCUAAUUUUAUCAGGCAACAGUUUCCACAGGAAAGAAUGAAAUUGGCAUUCUUAGAGAAAUUUUACCAUUCAUCACCCAAGUAAAUGAAUAACUACAACAAGAUCCGGAGGACAGCAAGCCCAACUGCAGAUAUUGAAACAAGGGUACCUAUGCAGUAUUUAAUCACAUCAUACUUUGCCGCUUCCAACUGUGCUCUUAAGGCAUGAAUUUCCCUGUCAAGCUUGUUUGUGAGGUUGGUGGUUUCUGCAUUCUGAUUAGCAAGCUCAUCGCGUAUUCGCCUGCACCCAAUUAAGUUUAAAAGAUGAAGCAAAAUCACAAUAGAUGUAUCAUCACAAUGAUCAUCUAACCUUAGCCAAAUUCAACCAGUGGCAUGAAAAUGCCUAUAAUCAAUUUCUUGAGAGUACAUUUCCUCAGAAGUAGCAUAAUACCGAGAAAUGUUUAUUUUAUGUUGCUUUCAUUAUAUUUUUUCAUGAUGAAAACAAGAAAACUGCAUGAGCAAGCCAUAAUUUAAUUUACUCACAAAAUCAGAUCUCAAUGCAUAGCAACCAUAUCUCUUUCCUAGAAUAAGAACCUAUGCUUAUGGUCUAAAAUAAAUCAUUAAAAAUGAAUCCCCACCUCCCUUCUGCAUUGAUCUAAAAGUUGAGCAUUGCUAGGCAAACAAGCAAUGGCCUUAUAGACAAAGAUUAAAUCACAAUACUGAACAAGUCCCCACAACUUCAGAUUGCUGCAUUCAACAACCAUAAGCAUAGAUUUGUUGAGGAAAAAUAAAAGAAGAGCAAAGAUUUGAGUGCAUAGAUUAUCAACGUAAGUCCAUUGCUUCUAGGAUCGACUGAUCAGGUCCACUGGUACGCUGGUACACAAUGGCGCAGCAACACCUAUUUAGCACAUAACAGAGUUUAUCUUCCUUACCCUCUUUCAAGAUUUAAAUCCAAACG
rnacentral:misc_RNA from 1 species